UAAGCCAAGCCUGGUUGUAAUAGCACAUAUCUGUAACCCCAGCGCCUGGAAGGCUAAGACUAGCCUCAGCUACAUAAUUUUGAGGGCAUCGUGCACUGUGUAGUGAGAUCCUAUCUCCACAACAACGGUUGUAAAUUAUUAUAUAGAUAUUUGAGUUAUUUUAAUGUACCGUCAAGAUAAAUAUCACUAAAAAUAUUCUGAUCCUCGUUUUUAAAAAUUACACGUAGGACUUAAGUAAGGAAAUUUACUUUAAGAACAUUAUCCUAAAAAUAUCCCACUCCCUAAACUUGGAAAUUAAUUGUGAGUUUUUAUUUUCAUUAGCUACCUAACACCAGAAUAUUUCAGUUUCUCAGUAGCUGUGCUAGUUUAUAAAACACAGCCAUUAAGUACAUGACUACUCAAAAGUGCGAUCCACUGACUAUAACUAUAAACUUGUCAUAUGUGAAACAUAAUAAAUCCAAAACUAUCAAGGUUCCCCUGCUGUAUAUGCACACUGAAAUUUGAGAAGACUUGAUUUAUCACAGCUUAUUAGCUAGGUAAGCCACUUAGAGGUGUUACUUCAUAUAGCUUUUAAUGCUUUGGCCUCAGCUGUUUUACAGCAGAUGGAAUAUAAUUAGUAGUUUAUGUCAUGAGUAACUGAGAAUUGAAAGAUCUUUCAAGCUUUUAGGAUGUGUUUAGUUUGUCGGGAUUUAAAACAUGCUCUUAUCAUUUUAAGUGAGAUACCUAGAAUUUAAGGAAAGUUACUGUGGGACUUGCCAUAGGUAAGUGAAAAUAAAAAUCUAUGCUAGGAUAUUAACCAAUACACCAAGUUCAGUGGAAAAGGACAAAUAUGACAAAGCAGAAAUAACAACAGACUGAAGGGCAAAGAAGUUUAAGUCGCCAGUGAGUACUCAUUAAACCCACUGGAGAGCUGAUGUUGCUCUGUGGCUUCAUAGAUAGACUAGAGGCUGAAAAUGCUACCUAGCUGUACAUGUUCUUACCUAGUUGACCAGUCUACUCUUUGACCAUCAGCGUUUCUUUCAUAACCAGAUUUCGCAAAUUAGACUAUGUGAUUUCUAAUAAUUAUCAGUUAUACUCUCCUACUAUAAUUCUGUGUAAUAUUUUCUACUCUGAAGUUACUUUUGUUUUUGUGUUUUGCAAGUACUCUACCACUGAGUACAUCCCCAGUCCUAAAAUUGUUUAAUUUGGAUUAUUUAACUAUUUACUUGCCCUGCUUUAUCAAUAAAUUUGAAGUUUUCAGAUAUUUCUAAUAAGUAAUUUUUAAUACUAAUUAUGGUAUAACAUGUGAUAAUUUUUCUUAAUCUCUUAGGUUGAACCAUUUUGCCAUUUUUACAGAUAAAUACAUGUAAUAUAUAUGUAUAUAUAUAUAAUUUUCUUAAGGUUUUAGUCUAAUUUAAAGCAAUUUCUGUCUCUUAUUUUUAAUUACUUAAUAAUAACUAGCAGUUAUCUUGGCGAUGCACUUUGCUUGUUACUUUCGUCUGAUUUUCUAAUGAAAGAAUGUGCACUUUUUACGAAAACAGUAACUUUAUAUUAAUGGAUGUAAUAAGCACAUUGAUAAAGGUUAGUGAUAAUUUAUAAGUAUAUAGCAUAUUUUAUUUAAUUUAUGUAUAUGACUACACUGUAGCUAUCUUCAGACACACCAGAAAUGGGCAUCAGAUCCCAUUACAGAUGGUUGUAAGCCACCACAUGGUUGCUGGGAAUUGAACUCCAGACCUCUGGAAAAGCACUAAGUGCUCUUAACUGCUGAACUAUGUCUCCAGCCUGUGAUUAUAGCAUAUUUUAAAUUAUACAGUAUAAACAUCACAAGAUUUUCUUGGAUCUGAAAUUUUUUGUCUACAUAGAUGUAGUUUUGCUUUUAAAUUUUCUGUUUCAUUUAAAAAAAAUAAGUGAUCUUAAAUUGCUUAAAUUAUUUUAGGAAAUGGUUAAAUGUAUUAAACUCACUGAACAAACACAAUAUAAUUUUACAGGAACCAUAUGGAAUAACUAGUAUUUUUGUUAGUAUUUCUUAAUCUUCAGUUUAUAAAACUUUAGUUAAGCCAAGCUAGGUCAGUCAAUAGGUAAGAAUUUAUCAUUUUGGUCACUUGCCAGUGUUAACCAAAGUAAAAUAAAAUGAGCCACACAAUUAUAGAAGGAAAAAGAUACUGCUUUGUAAAAAAUGUUUUUAUUUAAAAAAAAAAGAAACGUUUUAAUUAAAACCUGUUAAGCUCAGUUGGGCUGGGUGGCACAGGUCUGAAAUCAAGCACUUGAUGACUGAGCAAGAACAUGCAAAGUUUGAGACAAGCCAGAGCUAUAUAUAACACCCUUUCUCAA
rnacentral:lncRNA from 1 species